rnacentral:rRNA from 1 species
CCUACGGGUGGCAGCAGUGAGGAAUAUUGGGCAAUGGACGAGAGUCUGAACCAGCCAAGUAGCGUGAAGGAAGACGGCCCUAGGGGUGGUAAACUUCGUUUAUAGGGGAAUAAAAUGUUCCACGUGUGUGAUUUUGUAUGUACCUUAUGAAUCAGGAUCGGCUAACUCCGUGCCAGCAGCCGCGGUAAUACGGAGGAUCCGAGCGUUAUCCGGCUUUAUUGGGUUUAAAGGGCGCGUAGGUGGUUUGUUAAGUCAGUUGUGAAAGUUUGCGGCUCAACCGUAGAAUUGCAGUUGAAACUGGCAGUCUUGAGUACAGUAGAGGUGGGCGGAAUUCGUUGUGUAGCGGUGAAAUGCUUAGAUAUCACGAAGAACUCCGGUUGCGAAGGCAGUUCACUGGACUGCAACUGACGCUGAGGCUCGAAAGUGUGGGUAUCAAACAGGAUUAGAUACCCUAGUAGUC